UUUUUUUUUAUAUAAAGCAGUUUAAACUCUGGUUCUGUCUGAAAGUGCCUGAUAAAGGCCUCAGCAAGGGGGGGAAAGGGAACUGGAGCAUUUUAAUAAGCUGGUUUAACCCGCUUCGCUGCCUCUUCAGAACAGAGACCUGACUGGCCGGACACACAUCUCUGCUGCAUUUUCAUAUUCUCCAAAAGUCCCCCAUUAAAAAGCUGAGCGGGGAACAAGGGUGCCACAUACUGUAGCAGAGACAAACCCCAUCUGGAACCCUCUCUCCACGAGUCUCCUGGAAGGGCGCAAAACAAAAGCCCGACACAACAACAACAACCACCACCACCAAUCCUCCAAAUCUCCAAACUCCAGCCUGUCCUCCGGCGGGCAGAAAACCGCGUGGAAAACGCCCUCGCAGCCCUGGCUCCCCGGCCGUCGGGGGGAGCUCCGCGGGUGCUCGGCCCCGGUACCUGCCGAGCCCCUCGGGCCCCCACGGCCGUGGCAGGAACAUCGCCGAGUGUCCCGCCAGAGAGACCGAAACAGUCUCCGGUGCGGUUCUGGCCCGCAGCCAGUCUGGGGAGAAGGGGGGAGAAGGGGUGGAAAGGGCAAGGGGGGGAUUCCUUGUGAAUAAUUUUUCUGCUUUUAUUUUUCAUCUUUCUGCCCUCCUGAACCGGCUCGUCACAUCCCCUCUGCCGGCUAGAAAUGAGCGAAAAUUCGUCCAAGAAAUUGUGUUUCUGCUGUAGGGUCUAAAGGGGAUGUUCUCCCCCUUGCCCCCGCAUUUGUUUUGGUGGCUUUCCCCCUAACAUCGAACUCCUUCUUGAGGGUCAGACCAGUCCCGCAGCAAAGUCAGCGGACCCUCAGGUCGCGGCUCCUCGCCCGGGCCGGAGCUGCAGCCGGGGCUGCCCGGGGGUCCCCAAAUCGUGCCCCGAGCGCUGCGGCUCCCCACGCCCGGCCGAGGGACCGCGACCCCCGGUACGAGCCGUGAAACCCCGAGCGGGAAACGGAUUUUACGACACUCGGGCGAGGGGAGAUCCCUCUCUCCACUCCAUCGGUUCGGGAUUGGAGGCCUAAACACCCCUAGAAUUUGCCCUUCUCAUUGCCCGAAUCUCGGCCGGCCGGGUGGGUUUUCCAAAGGAGAUGCCGGUACUUUCGCUUUCCCCACUGCCCGUUCCCUGCUUCCCCCUUACCUGAGUUUCCGUGAGGCUGAGGCUGUGUGCCAGCUGUUUUCUCUCCGCUCCUACUACAUAAUGGUUCUUCUCAAAGGCAUGUUCCAGUCUCAGUAAUUGGGAUGGGGAGAAAGCUGUACGGAUCCGUUUGGGUUUCCUGGCCAGUGCAUUGUGCAAUAGGAAGCUCUCCGGGCUGGUUUCAUUCCCUGGGAAACAGGGUAGAACAGAUUAAUAAAAUACCUUCCCCAAAUGCACUCG